AUUCUGAGAAUGAUUGAUGUUCUGAGGUAUAUAAUGUGGCUUUUGUAAGAAGUGUAUUUGGCUAGUUUACUCUACUUGUUUGAUAGACUUGUUUGCGGUUACUCGUAUAUGUCCUGCAACACUGUAGAAUUCUGUUUCUUUGCUUAGACAAUGUAGUAGCCUGAAUGCAAGAUCUGGCUAUUCUAGAGGUUGUGUAGGAUUGAAUGGUAAGGUUUUUGUGUUGUGCAGGAUGAUAUAGUAUCUAAUGUCGAGGCAAAACUUGCUGCGUGGACCUUUCUUCCCGAAGAAAAUGGGGAAUCCAUGCAAAUAUUGCACUAU